CAAGUCGAACGGCAGCACGGGGGCAACCCUGGUGGCGAGUGGCGAACGGGUGAGUAAUGUAUCGGAACGUACCCAGUCGUGGGGGAUAACUAUCCGAAAGGAUAGCUAAUACCGCAUACGUCCUGAGGGAGAAAGCGGGGGACCUGCAAGGGCCUCGCGCGAUUGGAGCGGCCGAUAUCGGAUUAGCUAGUUGGUGAGGUAAAGGCUCACCAAGGCGACGAUCCGUAGCGGGUCUGAGAGGACGACCCGCCACACUGGAACUGAGACACGGUCCAGACUCC
rnacentral:rRNA from 1 species